rnacentral:tRNA from 1 species
GCAGUCGUGGCCGAGUGGUUAAGGCGAUAGACUAGAAAUCCAUUGGGGUCUCCCCACACAGGUUCGAAUCCUGUCGACUGCG